UACAUGUGGGGCAAGCGUUGUUCGGAAUUACUGGGCAUAAAGGGUGCGUAGGUGGUUUGUUAAGUCAGGGGUGAAAGCCCAGAGCUCAACUCUGGAAUUGCCUUUGAGACUGAGUGGCUUGAGUACGAGAGAGGUGAGUGGAAUUCCCAGUGUAGAGGUGAAAUUCGUAGAUAUUGGGAAGAACACCGGUGGCGAAGGCGGCUCACUGGCUCGUAACUGACGCUCAUGCACGACAGCGUGGGGAUCAAACAGG
rnacentral:rRNA from 1 species